GCCUAACACAUGCAAGUCGAACGCGAAAGGUCUUCGGACUGAGUAGAGUGGCGCACGGGUGAGUAACACGUAGGUAAUCUACCCUUUGGCGGGGGAUAACGUUCCGAAAGGAGCGCUAAUACCGCAUAAGACCACGGAGUCUCCGGACGCUGUGGGAAAAGGUGGCCUCUUCUUGAAAGCUACCACCGAAGGAUGAGCCUGCGUCCCAUCAGCUAGUUGGUAAGGUAAUGGCUUACCAAGGCGAAGACGGGUAGCUGGUUUGAGAGAAUGAUCAGCCACACUGGCACUGGAACACGGGCCAGACUCCUACGGGAGGCAGCAGUGAGGAAUAUUGGGCAAUGGGCGAAAGCCUGACCCAGCCACGCCGCGUGAGUGAUGAAGGCCCUCGGGUCGUAAAGCUCUGUGGAGAGGGACGAAAACCCUGGUUUCAAAUAGGCUCCAGGCUUGACGGUACCUCUUUAGCAAGCACCGGCUAACUCUGUG
rnacentral:rRNA from 1 species